rnacentral:pre_miRNA from 1 species
UCCAGCCUGUGCCCAGCAGCCCCUGAGAACCACGUCUACUCUGAACUGGGUACUGCCUGUUCAGAACAGACGCUGCUUCCCAGACGCUGCCAGCUGGCC